rnacentral:tRNA from 1 species
ACUAUUUUGGCAGAUAAGUGUAUUAGAUUUAGAAUCUAAAAAUGUAAUUGUUAUAUUACAGAUAGUA